UACGUAGGGUGCGAGCGUUAAUCGGAAUACUGGGCGUAAAGCGUGCGCAGGCGGCUUUGCAAGACAGAUGUGAAAUCCCCGGGCUCAACCCUGGGAACUGCAUUUGUGACUGCAAGGCUUAGAGUACGGCAGAGGGGGAUGGAAUUCCGCGGUGUAGGCAGUGAAAAUGCGUAGAUAUGCGGAGGAACACCAAUGGCGAAGGCAAUCCCCUGGGCCU
rnacentral:rRNA from 1 species